AGGUCUCUCUUGGAGAUGGCCUAAGAUGAAGUGUAGGAUCUAUUUUUAUUAGUUUAAUAUCUGAUACGUAGGCUAUGUGUCUACGUUGAUAUUAAAUUUAUUUUUUAGAAGAGAGUCUAUCAUAGUGACUUGCCAUUGGAAUCCUCAUGUGUCAUCUAGGUGUUGCACUACAGUCUAGGCUUGGUGCACCGCAA